rnacentral:rRNA from 1 species
GACGAACGCUGGCGGCGUGCUUAACACAUGCAAGUCGAACGGAAAGGCCCUGCUUUUGUGGGGUGCUCGAGUGGCGAACGGGUGAGUAACACGUGAGUAACCUGCCCUUGACUUUGGGAUAACUUCAGGAAACUGGGGCUAAUACCGGAUAGGAGCUCCUGCUGCAUGGUGGGGGUUGGAAAGUUUCGGCGGUUGGGGAUGGACUCGCGGCUUAUCAGCUUGUUGGUGGGGUAGUGGCUUACCAAGGCUUUGACGGGUAGCCGGCCUGAGAGGGUGACCGGCCACAGUGGGAUUGAGAUACGGCCCAGACUCCUACGGGAAGCAGCAGUGGGGAAUAUUGCACAAUGGGCGGAAGCCUGAUGCAGCAACGCCGCGUGCGGGAUGACGGCCUUCGGGUUGUAAACCGCUUUCGCCUGUGACGAAGCGUGAGUGACGGUAAUGGGUAAAGAAGCACCGGCUAACUACGUG